CCUCCUUUGGGCUGCAGUGGGGAAGAUUGGAAAAUGGGCGAAAGCCUGAUCCAGCCAUGCCGCGUGUGUGAAGAAGGCCUUCGGGUUGUAAAGCACUUUCAGUGGGGAAGAAAGCCUUGGGGCUAAGACUCUCGAGGAAGGACAUCACCCACAGAAGAAGCACCGGCUAACUCCGUGCCAGCAGCCGCGGUAAUACGGAGGGUGCGAGCGUUAAUCGGAAUUACUGGGCGUAAAGCGCGCGUAGGCGGUCUGAUAAGCCGGUUGUGAAAGCCCCGGGCUCAACCUGGGAACGGCAUCCGGAACUGUCAGGCUAGAGUGCAGGAGAGGAAGGUAGAAUUCCCGGUGUAGCGGUGAAAUGCGUAGAGAUCGGGAGGAAUACCAGUGGCGAAGGCGGUCUUCUGGACUGACACUGACGCUGAGGUGCGAAAGCGUGGGUAGCAAACAGGAUUAGAUACCCUGGUAGUC
rnacentral:rRNA from 1 species